AAUACCGCAUAAGCGCACAGAGCCGCAUGGCUCAGUGUGAAAAACUCCGGUGGUGUAAGAUGGAUCCGCGUCUGAUUAGCUGGUUGGCGGGGUAGAAGCCCACCAAGGCGACGAUCAGUAGCCGGCCUGAGAGGGUGAACGGCCACAUUGGGACUGAGACACGGCCCAAACUCCUACGGGAGGCAGCAGUGGGGAAUAUUGCACAAUGGGGGAAACCCUGAUGCAGCAACGCCGCGUGAGUGAAGAAGUCAUUCGUGAUGUAAAGCUCUAUCAGCAGGGAAGAAAAUGACGGUACCUGAGUAAGAAGCCCCGGCUAACUACGUGCCGGCAGCCGCGGUAAUACGUAGGGGGCAAGCGUUAUCCGGAUUUACUGGGUGUAAAGGGAGCGUAGACGGCCAGACAAGUCUGAAGUGAAAAUCCAGCGCUUAACGUUGGAAGUGCUUUGGAAACUGCCGGGCUAGAGUGCAGGAGGGGCAGGCGGAAUUCCUAGUGUAGCGGUGAAAUGCGUAGAUAUUAGGAGGAACACCAGUGGCGAAGGCGGCCUGCUGGACUGCAACUGACGUUGAGGCUCGAAGGCGUGGGGAGCAAACAGGAUUAGAUACCCUGGUAGUCCACGCGGUAAACGAUGAUUACUAGGUGUCGGGGGGCUAGAGCCCUUCGGUGCCGUCGC
rnacentral:rRNA from 1 species